ensembl:snoRNA U3 Small nucleolar RNA U3
AAGACUAUAUUUUCAGGGCUGAUUUCUAUAGUUUGUUACUAGAGAAGUCUCUCUGAAUGUGCAGAGUAUCCGAAACCACGAGGAGGAGGCACAGUGUUCUCUCCUGAGCGUGAAGCCGGCUUUUGGUGUUGCUUUUUGUAACUUCCAUUUGCUGUUGAUGAUGAUCGUUCUUCUCUCCCUUCCGGAGGGACUUUUAAAAACUCUACUGAGAGGU